rnacentral:sRNA from 1 species
GGUCCGUUCGUAACUACUUCGUCUGGCAGAGGCGGGGGAACCAAUUCUGGCCUUGUGUGCAAGGCCUUGGGGUUAAGUCGUCAGAUCGCGAAAGCGACGGACGGCCGGAUGGCUCCCAUCCGAAUCCGACAGCUCACCUCGUAGGCAUCGGGAGAGGCUUU